rnacentral:misc_RNA from 1 species
AGUUUUCUUCCUCCUUUUGAGAGCUUCAGUCUCCGUGUUUCCUAUCGUGUAAGUGGUCUUUUUUGUUCCAUACGGGCAAAGGGGGCCUCUUCUUGUCCGGUCGUGGUCUUCCUCCCCAUCACAAGAAAGAUGAAGCCCGAUCAAUUAUGUUCUCAACACAAAGCGUAUGAUAAGGAGAAUCAGCUGCAUCAUCAUUCAAUGCUUUAAUGCUAACCAGGUUGUCAGACUCGACAAUAAGAGAAGAGAGGCCUGCUUCCUUAGCUAAUUGAACCCCAUACAUUAUAGCUUGUGUUUCAGCCAUGGUUGAAUCCCAUGAAGCAGGAACACACUUAGAUGCCGCUAGUAUUACCCCCCUGUUAUUGUGAACGGCACAACUCAAUCUAACAAAAUUGUUACCAUGAACAACUGCAUCAGUGUUUAGCGUAUAAGAACAGAUUGUUGGUGCUGACCAAGAGGCAAUUGGGAACAGCUAGAGUUUAUGUUGCUCAUCAAGUUUGUGAGUAGAUAUUGAAUAUUGUAUCAUAUUUAUAAUAUUCAUAUAAAUUAGCAUGCACAUGCAUUAUUAAUUGUAUGUAUCUUAGUUACAGAUUAAUUAGGACAUAAAAUUAUCAUUAAAUAAUUAUUAAUACUUAUUUAUUGUGUUGCGUUGAAUUAUACUCACACAGGUACAGAUAUGAAUGUGCAUGGGAUAGGAUUGGCUUGAGUUGAGAUCACUUGCACCUGACGUGUUAUAUAUGUGCGUAUGGAUAUGCGAAAGAUAGGACUUCCUUGAGUUAAGCUCUCUUGCAACUAAUAGGUUGAAAUUAAGCGAAAGCGAUUUGAGAGGUUGGAUUAUAGUGGCUACGUGAGCAACUCACAUGUGUUUUAUGGAUUAUAUUGAGUGUGUGAAUUGUUUUCUAUCAUCUUCUUGUAUAGUGACUGAUUAAUUAUUUAUGAUAUGUUGGUUAUGUGUUUUUAUUAAUAGAAUUGCAUUAGAUUUAGACUACUUAUAGAUAUUGUAUGGGAUAUAUUUAAUAUCAUAUUUUAUGAGUAAAAGCUCAUUUUUAU